rnacentral:rRNA from 1 species
UACGGAGGGUGCGAGCGUUGUCCGGAAUCACUGGGCGUAAAGGGCGCGUAGGCGGCUACUUAAGCGUGUGGUGAAAGUCCGGGGCUCAACCCCGGAUCGGCCGUGCGAACUGAGUGGCUCGAGCACUGUAGAGGCAGGUGGAAUUCCGGGUGUAGCGGUGGAAUGCGUAGAGAUCCGGAAGAACACCGGUGGCGAAGGCGGCCUGCUGGGCAGUGGCUGACGCUGAGGCGCGAAAGCUAGGGGAGCAAACGGG